CACGGGUCUUGGCCCCCUUCAGCAGCACCCUGCAAUGCUCCAGCACCCGCACCAUCCCCAGGUACCAGCAUGAGGCUCCCAGCCAGCUCAGUCAAAUUACGCCCGAAGCUGGAGCAAUACCUCUUGGCCAUACAGGUGAGCAGGCCAGUCCCUGGAGUGUGCUGGGCGUGCCAGAGGCCUCACCUUCCAGGGUCAGUGGCCUGUGCUCCCUGCUCCCAGAGAUCAGAGUCUGUCAAGUGUGCAAACCCAUCCUGCACUGACUUCCUCGAGGCUCCUGUGGAUGUCUCCAGCAUGCGCCACCUCUUCGAGAAGGAGCUGGUGGGCCAGAGUCAAGAGGGCCCAGCCUCCAGGCACAAGGUGAGUGGCUCUGGCUCACCAGGCAUCUGCAGGCUGCUGAGGCUGGGGUGUUCAGAGCUGGAGCCUGGGCACUGCGGGACAGCUCCGUGCUUUUCUGCGUCCAUCUGGCAGACUUGAGGGCCCAGCCAUGCCUAUCUCUGAACCCCCAGCCCAACUGUGCACACAGCUCUUGGGGAGGGUCUGGUGGCCUGGCCAUGUAGAUGUGGUGAUGGGGCCCCUCUGGAGAUGCCAGCCCGGCCCCAUGGUGGGAGCUCUCUUCUCAGGAGAACUUGCAGCUCUCAGGGGUGGUGAAGUCUCAGCUCAAACUGUGGAACAGCAGGACCCAGGAGUCAGCACAGCAGGUCCCACAGGUUCCGUGCAUGCCCCUCUGGCCCUGGUCUCCCUGCAGGCCUCUCUUAAUAGGAUGACCCAUCAGGGGAGGGACAGCCCCGAGCACAGUGGAGAUACUCUGCACACAGGAUGGCCAUGGGGAAUCCUAUGGGUCAGAGGCAGAAGGAGGAAGGCCUGGGGUCCUCCCCCAGGAAGGGAUGGGCCAGGGGGCUCUGCAGCAGCCUGAGCCCCGUCUCUGUCCUGAUGCCCAGAACCAGGAGAUGCAGAGGGAUUUGGCAGCUGGCAGGAGGCCCCAGUGGAGGAAGAAGCCAGAGCCCCCACUGGGUCCCUAGGUGUGAGGAGCCAGUCCCAGGCCAGCAGCCACGCUGGUUGCCUGUCCCACCCGCUUUCCACACUGGAUCCAGGAGGACGCUGGCCAGCAUCCUCCCCACCCCUCUGGGGCAGGCGUGCCCUGUGGCUUGGCUGGCAUCUUUCCCGCACCCCUGUUGGGUCAGGCGUGCCCUGUGCCUUGUUCAGCUGCAGGCACUGCGCAUCUGCACAGAGCCUCGCCACCCUGUCCACGCAGAUUCCUGCUCUUCCUCCUCUUCCUUUCCUCUUCCUUUUCCUCCAUCCGGUGGCACCAGUGUCUCUGUGCACCUCUCCCAGGCUGGCCCCCACCAUCCUUGUGCCACCUGCCAGGCUGGAGGAGCCACACUGACCCCUCCCAGGCCCUGCCUUGCUCCCCUUCACGCCCUACCUGCUGCCCUGGCCAAGCCAUCCUGUGCCCCCUCCCCACACUCAGGAAAGAGAAGAUAAACUCAUUCACUCUCAGGUGUGACCAAUAAUAGCUUAAAAAUCACUCUUUUCGGAAGCUUUGCUUUUCAGUGGAGACUAAACAGCAUGGGGAUGAUGUUUUGGCUGUGGGGGCCUGAGGGGGGCAAGCAUUUGUCUGUCAGCAUCCUCUGUGGCCACAGCCCAACACACUUGCCCCCAAAUGCAGUUCUCUGCUCCCCUGCCCUCCUGGACCAGAGGGAACGCUAAGUUGUGGGUAGACCAAGCAGCCAGAGCCAGCCUGGUGCCAUCAGCCCUGCGUGCUGUGUGUGGCUGAGGGGUGUGGGGGGGUGCGUACGUGUGUGUGCACACAAUUGUGUGUGUGGUCCACACGUUUUCUCAUCACUAGACUUACGUUAGAAUCCUGCUCUCAGGUGCCUGCUUGGGUUUCUCUGGAGUCAGUGACACCCCAUACCUCCUUUGCCCCAGCCCUGCUGUGGGCCUGGUCCUGUGGGAGGCUCCGGUCCCACGUACAGCGGCCAGGGAUGGAAGGGCCUUGGGGCCCCACCUGUGAGCCCAGACUCACCUGCCUCCAGCAGAGGGUCUUGCAUGGCCGGCCCCAUGCCCACCCAGAGCUGGGGGCAGCGGGACCCGGAGGCCUUGGCCAGCCAUCCCCACCCACCACCACAUGCGUAACCUCGGAGUUCCCGGGAGGAGCCAGGAGGGCUGGGCUGGGCACCCCCAGAGAGGUAUGCCCCACCAGGAACUGUCAGCAAGCGGACGAGAGGUGCUGAGCGCUUGCUUGCUACACUCAGGAAGGUCCUGGUGGGUGGGUUUGCCCAGCACAGCAGAGCCAUCCCUCCAGCAUGGGGGUCUGAGAGUGGCCCGAGGGAUUUGGCCCACCUGGCCCUGGGGUCUGGGCGUCUGGUGCUGCUGCCCCCGGGGGGAGCCCUCAGUGCCCAUCAGGGCUGCCUGGGCAGGGUGCAGAGGGCAGCACCACACCACCCACCCUCUUGAACUCACUCAUCUACACAGAAGGCCCUGC
rnacentral:lncRNA from 1 species